GGUGGAGACCCCAGAGUCAACCGACACCGCGAGGUGGAGGUGGAUCUGACAAAACGAGCAUAUACGCAAACUCCAAAUUCCCCCACGACCGCGGACGAGCAUACGUGACGAAAAACUCACGUACGAAAUCGAGGGUUCGCUCAGUUAUAUUUACAAUAAGAGACUCGGAAUAAAAAGACCGCUCGCUCGUACGCGUCGAAAAACGCCGAUGAAAAUACCAUUUUCAUCCUCUACCUUGUGAACCCUAUAAAAAAACAGCACAAAAACAACCAUUUUUUCAAAAUCAUCUGUCGUUUGGGAUCCUUUUUAUAUUAACUGUGCACGUGAACGAUACAUUCGGAAUUUCCAUUAUUUUUCGAGCAAAAUAAACACGUUUCAGUUGCGUGAUGAUAAAACUCAAAUCUGGGAAAGAAAAACAAGGAAGGUAGAAAACAGAGCUGUCAAAAUGUUUCUAUAAAAAGCCCGGACAUUGUUCCAAAUUUUUCAAUAAUUCCGUCAUAACUUUCAAUAAUUCGCGACCGUCUCGAUCAUAGGAAAUUGUUUUAACGAAGAUUCCGAGAAUUUUCGAGCGUUUUAGAAAUAUUUUUCAACACUUUUUUUCGCACGCAUCGAGCCCGCUGCAGAGGAAGCUUUGUAUAAGAAACACUUUGCAAGGAAAUCGAUAAACGUUCUCAAACAUUUUGUGACGCAUUUUACGCAGUUCGUAGUAGAUGAAAAAAUGUCGAAAAAACGGUUGAAAGCGACCGAGAGUCGUGCACGUAGCCGGAAUUUGAAGGUAAAAUAAAAAUAAAUAGGUAGUAAAAAUCGCGAAUUAUACUCGCAUCUCGGAGGUUCCGUGGUGUGCUGAAGUACAAUCGGUUGAGACCGAAAAAACUAAACGUUGAUUAAACAAGUGAUGUGGAACUAGUAAAAAAGCGCAGUGGCUAGAAAAUGAAUUCCCUACUUUUGGAACGUAUCAGCGGAUGCUAAUUUUUAAAUUUCCAGGUUUCAACUUCAGGCAAUCCAUAUUAUAAAUUAAGGAGGGCGGCUACAUUCGUCAAAAUGAUAAGAAAUUGAUCAAAUUUGGUGAUAAUGUUCUUCAACUUCAAGUGCGAAGAGACAAUUUUUUUCAAAAUUUUCUUCUGCUUAGUUAUCGAGUAAUUACGCAUAAAAGCAGACUUCUUAUGCCUGGAAGAAACGCUAUGCUUAUACACGUGAACUUUAGUGAUCAAUUACUCGUUUUAACUGUACAGAAGAAAUAUCUUAAAAAAUUUGGCAGUAAAGAAUAUGUUGACCAAAUUUUAUUAAAUUCUUAUCAUUUUGAUACUUUUAAUGUAUUUAACGUGGUUUAGCAUGGCAACAUUGUAUCGUCGCUAUCCAACCUCCUUAAACUUGACCCCGAACGACUUUCAGAUGUAGAAAACUUGAGCGAAUAACGGAGGUAAUCAAAUUCGACUUGGUCAUUGAAAUUUUAACGCGAUUAGAGAACACUCCGCAGUCUCCAAACGUUUCAACCCGAUGCACUUAUUUGUUAUUACAAAAUAUGGGGACUGAAUGACAUUUUUAAAACAACGUCAAAGUGCCACUUUAACUCAGUAACAAAAACGGUAUUUUUUGCUCACAUCUUUGUUCAAUUGGUCCAAAACAGCUCGAAAUCACUCGUCAUGAUUAUUCCAACAUUAUAGAUUUGAAAUAUCGUCUUUUUUUAUUUUCUCAAUGCUCUAAUCCAUGGCAUUCCCACAAUAGUUGAAAAAAGUCGUGGAAAAUCCGGCCGAUACAAGCGUCCAUAUUAUCAUUGACUUCUGACGCUUUGGCAAAAUGCAAAACUCAGAAAAUCUGGGCCUAGUGAUUUAUUCGCAAUUUCCGAAUAAGAGUGUGCUCCGGUAAGCGCAUGAAAAUAUUCUCUCACUGAAAAUGAAUAAAGUCUGAGCCCAUCGUAGCCAAUUUUCAGUAUUUACCGAAAGCUUUUUCUGUUAUGCUCAGGGCGAAGAAGUUUUACGCGUUCUAUCGGUCGCAUGAAUCCGAGGAAGAUGAAGACGCAAUUUCCAUUAUUUUCUCGAAGCGUUUCAUAUUCCAAUAAGCACGGAAAGUUAUACCUCGCUCUCCAGUUACUCGAAGGAAAGGUCUUGCUCGUGUUUUUUUAUUUCAUAAAUCCAGAGCGAACCGCGCGUGUCGGAAAAAAGCGCCACAAAAUCGUUCUCGCAAUGCACACGGAGGAUGACAAAAUUUUGUCGAAAAAGUCAGUGAAUCAAUUGAACAAUGUUGGGAACAUUCCCAAAAAACUUGAUGCGAUGAGCCCACCAAAUAGUCCAACUCUGCGAUGUUUUUUCCAAAUAACUGCGCCGCGUGGAUCCUUCCGAAAUUUGACAGGUUGAUUGUUACCAAGGGAUCAUGAGCGUUCCCAAAAAGCUUCAUCCCAGUGACAUCCUUUCGUCCAGAGCCACGUCAUUCUACUUGGAACUGGAAAAAAAUGAAGACGGACUAUGAAUAAAUUCCAUUACGCGACGCACUGGCCUUCGGUUUAAUAAAGCCUCUUUAUGGGGGUGAAAAUCGGAAGAUUUAUGAGUAGAAUAGCGACCGACGGCACGCCAAUGUCCGUUGUCUGACCGUGACAAAAGCUACACGCGGGCACCGCGCUCCUCCAGGAGGUCAUUAUCCUUCGGUUCUUAUCUACCGAAGGAUGAGUCUGUGUGGGUAUUUCCGGUAGGAUGCAUUUCUCCAGGCACUCUGGUUGCAGCACAUGCACGCGUGUGCGGAAUCAUGCUCGAUAAUAUCGACCGUGAAAGCGCGUAAAGUAAAGAGAAGGGGGAUGAACGAACCGGCGACCCCCGAGGUUGAUUCACGAUUGUUCCUAUGGUUACGUUUGCGCCGAUCGAACUCCAAGGGUUACACUUUACGCUCGUAGGCCAGUCGUGGAAAGCCGCAGAGCGUUAUGGAUCGAGAGCGCGCGCGCACUCCGCUUCUUAGCCCUCUUUUUCACCGCAAAACUCAUAAAUCAACAUAAGCGAUCGUCGCCAUAAGGCUCCCUUGCUCGUCCAACAGUCUCGAGAAUCACCGCGACCGGGGCGACACGGGAUCGAGCCUUUCAAUAAAUCCACCUGAAGUUUCUUCAACGAAAACUCGUAAAAACAUUUCCAUACUCAAGUUUCGAAGCUUCCGCAGUCUCUGGCCGUCUGGCCGUGUUUACUUUUCCGAUUAAUCAGUCACCGAAGUCAGCGACGAAGAGUUUCGAUGAGGAAACUUAAAUAAUUGUAAUAAUCAAGCUCAAAGUUUAUGAACUUUUUAAUAUUUUAUGCUAGGACGAAUGUUGACAUGGAUUCAGUGAUUUUGUUACAAACCUGCUCUGAAACGCGUGCGGGAACGGUUCAAACGAAAAUUUUAUCAAGCUUUUCCCUCUUCGAUUUUAAAUCGAACAAUUAACAGAUGAGCGCGAAUUGAAUUUUUCCCUCUCUCGGGUUGAAAAUCGCAGAAUAAAAUCGAAACGAAAGCAACUGCAAAUGGAUUCCGUGGGCGUUUGAAACAUCCCUCCAAAGUGCAGAGAGCAUAAUAAACUGUUUUUCCGCUUGGUCUGUGCGAGAUAAAUAGGAGCGGUGGCGAGUAAAUCGAGUUCUGGACCGAAAGUCUUUUUGCCAGGAACCUCCCACGCUUCCUCGCAACACUUUUACGUCAUGCACUUUGGAUUCCUCAUUACAGUGGUUUAAUUAAGACCGCUUCACCUCCCCUUAAUUCUCAGUCCGUCUCUCUACGUGCAUCUAUACAGUACGGUAACGGCGUGUCACGACGGCAUUUCCAUCUCUUCCGGAGCGUACGUUUUCGAGGAUAUAAAUGCUUUGCCACUAAUCGUGUAUCCAUUAGUUUUGAAUUCUCGUUUUAUUCGCUUCCUUUCGACCGAACACGGAUACAUUUUAAUGGGUUGAAAAUCCAUCAAAGCUCUUCAUGUUUUAUGUCACAUUUUUUUCGUGCGUUGAAAAUAAACCUGCUUAAUAAAGCACUCGUACUCUUCGGCAGAUUCUUCCACUUAGUUAAUGCUGAAAAAUAUGUGAAAACUUUUUUAUCCGCUCUUUACGAAGCCGAGGAGUUGCUACUCAGCAUUUAAUUAAGCGUGAGUAGCUUUUUCGAGGGUUUCGCGUAGCUUCGCAGAAUAUGAGCAUUUUUUUGUGACACUCCGCUAUCCAAAGCUCGGCAAUGAAACGGCACUAAUUGGGCGAGCCAUGCUUCUCUCCGGCGUAAUUAGUCGUCUUUAUUAUUUCGUAUUUCCUCGCCACGCUAUUUCUUCUCAAAUCCUCUCGAGCGUUUGACGUCAAUAAAGAAGCCCCACUUCUGGGAAAUUCAAAAUCUCUCUAUUAUUCUCGUAAUUGGAGCAUUAAAACAGUCGAAUUUCGAAGAAGACGAUGACCUCGAGGAUUUCACUGGUCGAGCAGAAGAAACUCCAAUGGGCCAAAGAAAGAGAGGAAAUGGCGCGAUUGAGCGGGCACUUGGAAAGUCGCAAGAGCCAUCAACAAAAUGGCGUCCGAACGAACAUCCGAACGUACCCAACGAACGCGAGGCUUUCGUCGAGGGAAUCGAUCGCUAUCGUAAAAGACAAGCCUCUUCGUGCCGUUGGAAAUUACGGCAGUACGUCGAGCCUGCACAGUCUCGCUGAUCAACGUUCAACUCACACGACCACGAGUCUCCGGACGAUUGAUUUUUCGACCGGCAGCCUCGUCGACUUACUGGAAGGUACCGAUUUCCCGGGCACCAGACGACGGAGCCCCAGUCUCCCGCCGAUUUACACUAAGGACAAUCAACAACAAUCGCGACUCUCACAAGAAAGUACGAGAGAACUCGGCGUCGAAGGCUUGCGUUACAGCAAUCAAGAGCGUCCUCAGAAACAACACCACCGUCAAGCGGGAAGGAACCCUAACGGGAUCGACCACCCUUACGAGGAACGCGAGGGCGAGACUUCCGGUUACGGCAGCGACUCCGCCGAGGCUCCUUUACCGCCAGCUUCCCUGGCGCAUGGCAAACGUAUAGAAAGUGAAAUGUCCGAGAGAACAUGGCAAAACCCUUAUUGCGAGACACCGGAAACUUCGCUUCCAGGAUCGGGAAGACAAUCCGUAACGAAACUAGGUGAACUGAACAGACAGCGCUGGGGGAGUAUCUGGGGAGGUGAGAGCAGUGGAAAAAGUGAUCGACCAGCACCCUCGUGGCUCGAAAGGAGCCUCUCGCGAUUGGAUCACUCCAGUCAGAUUCUCGUGAUAAACCACGAGAGCGCGAGCAGUCCGGACAGCUCGACAACCGGGUCGACGGGCUCGGACUCGAAAACGUACAUCCGCGGUCAAAAUAUACCUGUUGAUGCUCAAGUGCUCCAAGAACGCGAAGCAAAGAGGCUGAGAGCUCGCGAGCUCCAAAACGCGAUAAAACAACAGUUGGAGGAAAAGGAAAGGCAGCGGAAAGCGGAGAGAGAAAAAAGACUGAAGGAAGAGAGGGAGGAGGAAGAGCGAAUAAAGCGGGAUCGCGAUAAGGAAAAGGAGAGGCUGCAGGAGGAGCAAAGAAGACUGCGAGAAAAAGAAUGUGCCAAGAUAAAAAAAGCAGCGGCGAUGAGGGAGGUUAUGGAGAUCGCGGAGAGACGAGCUCGCGAGGAAAAACGACAGCGGAGACAAAAAGACGAGUCCCGAGAGUCCCCGAAGAAAGCAUGUCCGGAGUCGAACUGCUGGGAGUCCCCAAAAGCCGCUCGAGCCCCCGAAGAUCCGUGCGACCUGUCCAGAGAAGAUUUCCGAAAAGAAAAAGCCUCGAAGGUCGUUCGUUCCGAUGACGAAAACGAUGAAGGAGCCAAAGGAGCGAUGGUCGAAAAUGGCUCGCCGAGAAGAUCGGAGGAAAGCGCGAGCGAGGAUCUCGGAAAGAGCGUCAACGUCGAAGCGUCUUCGACGAAUGUCGAUUGCGAUGAAAACACGCUGAGACUUCCGGUCGGAAAGGAAGUCGCCAUUGUUCUCAGCGGCAGACUCGACGAUGCCGAGUUUUUUAACCGCGCCAAUCUUCAGCUCGUUAAUCUCGUCGUUACGAGUCCGAGAAAAAACGAACAGACCUCGAGCAGCGCUCUCAACGAAGGAUUAAACGCCCUCAUCAAAAGUCUCGCCAAUCCGGUUGUUUUACGGAAAUCCCCACGCUCCGGUCUCUCACCAAGAAUCUCCGAAAACCGCAUCCUCACCCCCAGCAAAUACAGAAAUUUUAUUAAUCACGGACGCGAUUUUGGCACGCAAACCGACGGCGAGAGCGAACCUCCGGAUAACAAAGACGCCUCCGUCAAAGAUCGUAAAGACGUCGUCAACAAUAAUCGAAGAGACGUUGAAAAAUCGACGAAUACAGGAGCGGUGGAAGAGACGGGGAUGAAAGCAUUGGUUCGAUCGAAAGUACAAACUCGGACGAGCAUUGACACAAGACCGAGAUGGAACGCUAAUCGAAGCUUCAAAGUGAUGGAAAGAUCUCCCUAGGCCAGGCACGCGUUAUCGAACUCAGAGUGAAAAGGAUCCGCAUUAUCAAAGACGCAUGAGAAUGAGACGACGAAGAGUCGAAUCGAGCGACGAAAGAUCGAGAUCGCCAUCGCCCGAUCGGCGGAAAUCAACGAACCACAAA
rnacentral:misc_RNA from 1 species